AACCCGUACCGGAUCGUGAUCGUGCUCCGGCUGGUGGUGCUCUGCUUCUUCCUCAAGUUCCGGAUCACGACGCCGGCGAUGGACGCGGUGCCGCUGUGGCUGGCCUCGGUGAUCUGCGAGCUGUGGUUCGCGCUGUCGUGGAUCCUCGACCAGCUGCCCAAGUGGUCGCCGGUGACGAGGGAGACGUACCUGGACCGGCUGGCCCUCCGGUACGAGCGCGACGGCGAGCCGUGCCGCCUGGCCCCGAUCGAUUUCUUCGUCAGCACGGUGGACCCGCUCAAGGAGCCGCCCAUCAUCACCGCCAACACCGUGCUGUCCAUCCUCGCCGUCGACUACCCCGUCGACCGCGUCUCCUGCUACGUCUCCGACGACGGCGCGUCCAUGCUGCUCUUCGACACGCUCUCCGAGACCGCCGAGUUCGCCCGCCGGUGGGUCCCCUUCUGCAAGAAGUUCACCAUCGAGCCCCGCGCCCCCGAGUUCUACUUCUCCCAGAAGAUCGACUACCUCAAGGACAAGGUCCAGCCCACCUUCGUCAAAGAACGCCGCGCCAUGAAGGUAAACCUUCUCCACUCCAUCUGCGGGUUGAGUGUCGUGGAUAUACCGGAUUCAAGGGUUUAAUAUAUUGUUUUAGGCAUUUGUGUUGGGGGGACCGAUAUAGCCGGUUAUUUCGAUCCAAAAUUAUUUUAUUUUAUUUUGAAAAAAAAUGAUUAAAAUUUGAAUAAAUAUUAUCAAAUUCACAAAAAUUUGAAAAACAUUUAAAAGUUUCGUCCGAAAUAAUAUCAUAUCAGGUUGUCCAAUAGAACUGAAAUGUCAAAAAUUAUGUUAUGUAAUUUUGAACCCUCAUUCAAUUGGAGCAUCUCGUGAUCAGUCUGUUUUUGGAGAUGUAGGCUAUGGCUAAACUUCGUUACCGAUAUAUCCCUUCUCGAUGUUGUCAUCCAGUUUAGAUCGUCUAUAAGUUUUUUAACACCUACUCUUGAUGUGACAGAGAGAGUAUGAGGAGUUCAAGGUGAGGAUAAACGCGCUGGUGGCGAAGGCGCAGAAGAAGCCGGAGGAAGGGUGGGUGAUGCAGGACGGGACGCCAUGGCCGGGGAACAACACGAGGGACCACCCGGGGAUGAUCCAGGUGUACCUGGGCAGCCAGGGCGCGCUCGACGUCGAGGGCAGCGAGCUGCCGCGGCUGGUGUACGUGUCCCGCGAGAAGCGGCCCGGCUACAACCACCACAAGAAGGCCGGCGCCAUGAACUCCCUCGUUCGCGUCUCCGCCGUGCUUACCAACGCCCCCUUCAUCCUCAACCUCGACUGCGACCACUACGUCAACAACAGCAAGGCCGUCCGCGAGGCCAUGUGCUUCCUCAUGGACAAGCAGCUCGGCAAGAAGCUGUGCUACGUCCAGUUCCCCCAGCGCUUCGACGGCAUCGACCGCCACGAUCGCUACGCCAACCGCAACACCGUCUUCUUCGACGUGAGCACUGCCUUCUUCUCCGGCGUGCGUGCGUCGCGCCGUGACGUGAGCUAACGAUGGUGUCGUUUGAUGUGCAGAUCAACAUGAAGGGGCUGGACGGGAUACAGGGGCCGGUGUACGUGGGGACGGGGACGGUGUUCAACAGGCAGGCGCUGUACGGAUACGACCCGCCGCGGCCGGAGAAGAGGCCGAAGAUGACGUGCGACUGCUGGCCGUCGUGGUGCUGCUGCUGCUGCUGCUUCGGCGGGGGGAAGCGCGGCAAGUCGCACAAGAACAAGAAGGGCGGCGGCGGCGGCGAGGGCGGCGGCCUCGACGAGCCGCGCCGCGGGCUGCUCGGGUUCUACAAGAAGAGGAGCAAGAAGGACAAGCUCGGCGGCGGCGCGGCGUCGCUCGCCGGAGGGAAGAAAGGGUACCGGAAGCACCAGCGCGGGUUCGAGCUGGAGGAGAUCGAGGAGGGCCUCGAGGGGUACGACGAGCUGGAGCGCUCGUCGCUCAUGUCGCAGAAGAGCUUCGAGAAGCGGUUCGGCCAGUCGCCGGUGUUCAUCGCCUCCACCCUCGUCGAGGACGGCGGCCUCCCCCAGGGCGCCGCCGCCGACCCCGCCGCCCUCAUCAAGGAGGCCAUCCACGUCAUCAGCUGCGGCUACGAGGAGAAGACCGAGUGGGGCAAGGAGGUAAUCCAUCAAAAAAUCUCCACCAUUUUCAAGCUCGAGGAAGAUGAUCGAAGCUAACCAAAAAUCAAAAUUCUUGCAGAUUGGGUGGAUCUACGGGUCGGUGACGGAGGACAUCUUAACGGGGUUCAAGAUGCAUUGCCGUGGGUGGAAGUCGGUGUACUGCACGCCGGCGAGGGCGGCAUUCAAGGGGUCGGCGCCCAUCAACCUGUCGGAUCGUCUGCACCAGGUGCUCCGGUGGGCGCUCGGCUCCGUCGAGAUCUUCAUGAGCCGCCAUUGCCCGCUCUGGUACGCCUAUGGCGGCCGCCUCAAGUGGCUCGAGCGCUUCGCCUACACCAACACCAUCGUCUACCCCUUCACCUCCAUUCCCCUCCUCGCCUACUGCACCAUCCCCGCCGUCUGCCUCCUCACCGGCAAGUUCAUCAUCCCCACGGUAAAGAACCAACCAAGAACAUCAAAAUUUCCGCUAAAAUUUCAAGCUCCAAAUGAUCUUGCACUGACCGAUCGAUCGCGAUCUUGGUGUACGUGUAGCUUAACAAUUUGGCGAGCAUAUGGUUCAUAGCGCUUUUCCUGUCGAUCAUCGCGACGGGGGUGCUGGAGCUGCGGUGGAGCGGGGUGAGCAUCGAGGACUGGUGGAGGAACGAGCAGUUCUGGGUGAUCGGCGGCGUGUCGGCGCACCUGUUCGCCGUGUUCCAGGGCCUCCUCAAGGUGCUCGGCGGCGUGGACACCAACUUCACGGUGACGUCCAAGGCCGCCGCCGACGAGACCGACGCGUUCGGCGAGCUCUACCUGUUCAAGUGGACGACGCUGCUGGUGCCGCCGACGACGCUGAUCAUCAUCAACAUGGUGGGGAUCGUCGCCGGCGUGUCGGACGCCGUGAACAACGGGUACGGGUCGUGGGGCCCGCUGUUCGGGAAGCUCUUCUUCUCCUUCUGGGUCAUCCUCCACCUCUACCCCUUCCUCAAGGGGCUCAUGGGGAGGCAGAACCGGACGCCCACCAUUGUCGUGCUCUGGUCCAUCCUCCUCGCCUCCAUCUUCUCCCUCGUCUGGGUCAGGAUCGACCCCUUCAUCCCCAAGCCCAAGGGCCCCGUCCUCAAGCCAUGCGGGGUCUCGUGCUGAGCUGCUGCUGCUACUUCUCUGUGUCUCUGCAUUUUGCAAGAGGGAUGACCGGAUGGAUGAUUCUUGUUGUAUGGAGUAUUUUGACUUGUUCAUGUACAAGUUUUUGUGAGUGGGAUAAAAGUGUUUUGGGGGUAAAAUUUGUAAGAACUGAGGUGGAGAUUAUACUCGAAUUUAAGAACAAUUGUUUUUGAAUUUUCUUUUAAGAUUUUUGGGAGUAAAUUCAGUCCAUAGUUCGGCCGAAAAGGUCGUAAAAUUGGCCCCUUAUUUGAGCGUUAGUGCGGACCGAAAAUGAGCGCAAAUUUAGCCCAUUAGGCCCGUAAAUUUGGCCCAACAGUGAGCGUUAGUUGGACCCAAUGAGGAUAAAUUCGGCCAUUAUUUGACGUAAUUUCAGCCCAAUGCUUUCUGCUCAAUGGUCCGUUGGUUUGCGCAUAUUUAGCCCAUAUAUGCAGGUAAAUCUGACCCAGAAAUGCUGGUCAAUCUGGCCGACAAGUUUACGUCGAUUGAGCCCAAAAGCUGGCGUGAAUUCGGCCCUUAUGUGAGUGCAAAUUCAGCCGAUAACUGUGCAUAAAUUCAGCCCGUAGGAAGGCAUCAAUUCAGCCCAAACGUUCGGUAAUUUACAUGUAGAUUUUACCUCGCCUUUCGUUAGUACUUUCAAACUUCUAAACGACGUGUUUCAUGAAAUAACUUUCUCCAUAAAACUUGUUUUAAAACAUAGAUAGAUAAAUCCAAUUUUUAAUUUCUUUUUUAAAAAAAGUCAAUCAACACUCUUCAUCAUCUGUUCUCAAACGGGACUAAAUAUCACUGUACAAAAACUAUACAGAUGCUAAUGAGAAUCUACUAACGGAAUCACAUAAGCACAAAGCAAUCGAUAAUUUGUCACAAAUUUUCUCUCUCAUCUGUGAGAAUUUGUCAGGUCGCCUAUCUUGAUCAUCUCGAACGGCCUGUCCAGGAUCGGUCGCCGGCGAGCGGCGAGCUCCUGCGCGACGGCGCGCAUCGUCGGCCGGGCGUCGGGGCUCGUCCGGACGCAAGACAGCGCCACGACGAAGGCGAACACGACCUGCCCGGCCAGCUUCCCCGCCGGGGCGUCCAGCCUCUGAUCCACCACGUCCUUGAGCAGCAGCCGGCGCGACGCCGACGCCGACGCCUCCUCGCCGCCGCCGCCGCCGCUGCCGUCGUGCCCCUCGGCUGACAGUGACUGCGGCGAGUGUUGCAGCGAGCUGAUGAGCCCGCCGGGGUACUUGCCCAUGAGCAUCUCCAUCGCCACGACGCCGAAGCUGUACACGUCGCACUUGGUCGUCACCCUCAUGUACGCCAGCUCUGCGGCAAGACCGCAAGAUAAACAUGGUAUCAGCGUCAAUGGCGGAUUCGGUGUGUAUAAGGGGUGAAAAUGGUCACGAAAAUUCUCAAUCAAUUGGGCGCCGUUUAUGUUUAAGGGGCACUGUUUUCAACGGUUUUCCUUUUUUUUUUUGGCUAUACUAGCUUAGAGUCCGUGCAUUGCAACAGAAAACAAAUUAAAUUUCUAGCUUAUUGAAUCAAUCAAUCAAUCUAUUAUAUUAUUAAAACAGCAUUGAAAGGAGGCACCAUGUUCGCUGUGGGGGCUAGAAAUUCCCACAUUAAUCAGAGAAAAAGAAAAAAAAAAAGAAAAGAAGAGUCCAAGUAGAAGUACAAUUUAAAAAUAUCUAAAAUUCAGAAUUAAAAAUAAGCAAUAUUGAAAUAAGUUUCCAUAUAAGAACCCAAUACGAGAUUAAUCAAAAUUCAAAAUAAAAAUAAAAUAAUAUCCAAAAUUAGAAAAGGAAAGGAGAGUCCAAGUAGAAAUACAGUUUAAAAAUAGCUGAAAUUCGGAAUUAAAAAUAAGCAAUAUUGAAAGAAGUUUCCAUAUAAGAACCCAAUACGAGAUUAAUCAAAAUUCGAAAUAAAAAUAAAAUAAAAUCCAAAAUUAGAAAAGGAAAGGAGAGUCCAAGUAGGAAUACAAUUUAAAAAUAACUGAAAGUCGGAAUUAAAAAUAAGGAAUAUUAAAAAAAGAGUACAUACAAGAACCCAAUAUGAGAUUAAUUAAAAUUCGGAAUAAAAAUAAAUCCGAAAUUAGCAAAAGAAAAUAAAAGAAGAGUUCAAGUAUGAAUACAAUUUAAAAUUAGAUGAAAUUCGAAAUUAAAAAUAGGCAAUAUUGAACGAAGAAUCCAUAUAAGAACCUAAUACGAGAUUAAUAAAAAUUUUGAAUAAAAAAUAAAAUAAUAUCCAAAAUUAGAAAAAUUAAAAGAGAGUUCAAGUAGGAAUACAAUUUUGAAACAACUAAAAUUGAAAAUAGAAAAUAAAAACAUUAAAAAAACACAAUACGGUAUUAACUAAUUUUUCUAAAAAAAAUUAAAUUCUGAAAAUAGAAAAAGAAAAAUAAGAUUUCAAUUAGGAAUACAAUGUAUAAAAUUUGUGAUAAAAAUAAAGACUAUUGAAAGAAAACCAUCUAAAACACAUGACGAGAUAAAUUAAGUACCAUGCAUAUAAAGGAGUAGAGUAGUGGCGGUUGAUACGACAUAUAAAAAUUGUUAAUAAAACACCAAAUAGAAUCCUAAUGACGAUUAAAAGGAGGGACGUCAAGUAGGCCGUGAAGCAAACAAGUAAGGCGGUUGCCGAGACUUCUAGAAAGUAAAAAAAAAACACCAUUGAUAAUCAUAUUCGAUUUUUAAAAUCUCAAUGACAAUAAAAAGGAAAAACAGUGGGCAGGGUGUAUAAGAGUAUAGUUGCAGAGCCGCCGACGGUUGACGGGACUUCUAGAAAAUAAAAAAUAAAUUCUAACGAUAGUUAUGUUCGAUUUUUAGAAUCACAAUGACGAUAAAGAGUAGGCGGCGGACGGGCUGUAGAGGGGCAUAGUGGCAUCGUUUGAAGGGACUUCUAAAAAUUAUAAAAAAUAAAACUACAAGUUUAAUUUUUAAAGGUUUGGAACUUCUAAAAAGUAAAAAAAAAACAAUAAUAAUCAUGUUUGAUUUUAAAAUCUCAAUGACAAUAAAGAAGGGAGGCAGCGGGCGAACCGUAGAGGAGUACAAUGGCAAAGCCGCUGAUGGUUUGGCGGGACUUCUAGAAAGUAAAAAAUGAACACAAAUGAUAAUUAUGUUCGAUUUUAAAAAUCUCAAUGACAAUAAAGAGAAGAGACAGUGGACGGGCCAUAGAGGAGUAUAAUGGCAACGUUUGACGGGACAUCUAGAUAUUAUAAAAAUGAAACCCAACAUAACAAUAAACUCUAAAAACUAUAAAAUCCAAUUUUUAAAUGUUCCAAGAAAAAUGAAUAGAAAUAGUGAUAGAUCGAGCAAGCAAAUAAAGAAGGAGAUGACAUAAGGGGUAGCAACUGGUGUGACUUUUAAAAACUAUAUAAUUAGAAACACGAGGAUGAUAAGGUUUGGUCUUUCAAAGUCUUAAGACAAUGAGCUAGUUAUUUAAUAAAUUUUAAAUGAAUCAUACUAAAAUAAUAUAUGAUUUUGUUUGGGUGCUAGCCGCGUAAUUGCGCGGGUCACCCAGCUAGUUAAUAAUAAGACCCUAUUUAGUCUAAGUAAUACUAUAGUUUUUCUUAUUUCAACAAGUAGGUGAUUUUGAAAUUUGGGAGAGCUAAUGGUGAAAUUGAAGAUUUGCUGAAAGGUAAUAGUAUAGAUUAUGAGACCCAUAUGUCAAUGGUAGAGAUUGCGUGCGAAUGGACACCACCACUAUUAAGAUUUUAAAUAUCAUAGAUAUAAAAUUUGUUUUUUCUAAUUUCUUUAUGCAUCACAUUAAUAUCGUACUGAGUAGUUUAAAUGAUAAAUAUAAUCAACUAGCAGCGUCGUUAGAUUCCGACCGUUUUCACCCUGUGUGGCUAUGGAUGUACGGACAGUUUGUACCUGGUGCCAUGUAGCCGUAGGAGCCGGCGAUGCUGUCGCAGGUGGAGCGGCCGGGGACGAGGAACCUCGCCGUGCCGAAGUCCGACACCCGCGGCUCGUAGUCCGGGUCGAGGAGGACGUUGUUGACGGAGACGUCGCGGUGGAUCAUCGGCGGCGAGCAGUCGUGGUGGAGGUAGGCGAGCGCGUGCGCGACGCCCCUGAUCGCCCUCAUCCUCGCCGGCCAGUCGAACCUGCAGCCGCCGCCGCCGCCGCCGCCGUACAGCACCGCGCCGAGGCUGCCCCGCUCGGCGAGCUCGUACACGAGGUACAUGUACCCGCCCAUGGCGCAGAAGCCGUGGAGCUUGACGAUGUUGCGGUGGCGGACCCGCGUCAGCGCCCUCACCUCGUUCUCGAAGCUCCUCUCGCUGACGCCCCAGCACGCGUCGCCGGUCUCCGACGCGUCGAGCCGCUUCACGGCGACGGCGCGCCCGCCGCCGAGGUCGGCGCGGUACACGGUCCCGAAGCUCCCCUUGCCGAUGCAGUACGCGUCGUUGAAGUGCUCCGUCGCCGCCAGGAUGUCGCCGAAGGAGAACGUCGUGUCCUUGCUCCAUAUCGAGGCCUGCACCGCCGCCGCCGUCGAGCUCCCGCCGCCUCCGCUCGCCGACGUCUCCGCCUUCUCUACGACGACGGCGGCUCGCCUCGCCUUGCGUGACACCGCGCAAACCACGGCCACCAUGGACACCAGCAGCGCGGCGGCGACGGAGAGCGUGACGGCGAGCACCAGCCUCGUCUUACCGGAGUGGCCGUCGCCGGUGGUGGUGUUCGAGCUGCAAGAGUUCAGCCCGGCAAUGUCGUGGCCGCACAGGCCGGGGUUGCCGCUGAGAUCCAGCGUCGUCAGCGACCUCAUCUUGCCGAGCAGGGGCGGCACCUCGCCGGAGAGGUUGUUGCUGCUCAGGUUGAGGUACCACAUCUCGGCCAGCUUCGUCAGCUCCACCGGCACGCCGCCGUCGAGCGCGUUCCCGGACAGGUCGAGCAUCUCCAUUCUCGCGGCGUUCCCGAGCGUCGCAGGGACACGUCCCGACAAGGCGUUGCGGCGCAGGUUCAGCUUGGUCAACGGCAAGCUCCCGAGCUCCGGCGGGAUCUCGCCGGCGAGACGGUUCGACGAGAGGUCCAAAUCUUGCAGGGACAUGGCGCCGUAGCUCGCCGGAAUCGCUCCGGCGAUCUUGUUGCCGCUCAAGUGGAGGAACGAGAGGCUCUUGAACUGCGCCCAGUGCUCGGGGAGCUCGCCGUCGAACGAGUUGCCGGACAGGUCAAGGUAGUAAAGGUCGGGGUGCGACGCGAGGAUCUCCGACACGUCGCCGGCGAGCUUGUUCCGUGCCAUCCGGAGGCGCACAAGGUUGGUCAGGUUGCGGUAGCACGCCGGCACGGUGCCGGAGAAUUGGUUGUCGUCGAGGCCGAGCCACCGGAGCCGCGGCGCGCUCGCGCACACGCCACGAGGCAGCUCGCCGGAGAAGCGGUUGUUCGCCAUGCUGACGAUGGAGAGCUGGCCGUUCCGGCCGAACUCCGGCGGGAUGGCCCCGGAGAGGAGGUUGUCGAAGGCGACGAGGCCGACGAGCCUCGGCAGCCGCGCGAGCCCCGCCGGGAGCUCGCCCUCCAGCAUGUUGCUGCUUACGGACAGCCUCUGCAGCGCCGCCAUGUCGCCGAGCUCGUCGGGGAGCCGGCCGGUGAGCUUGUUGGUGUACAGCCGCAGCGUCUCGAGGCUCGUGAGGUUGCCGAUCGUGCGGGGGAUCGCACCGGCGAGCUUGUUCUCGGCGAGGUCGAGGAGCUUGAGGUUGGCGAGCGUUCCGAUCACCGGCGGGAUCGCGCCGGAGAGGUUGUUGGUCGCCAAGGAGAGGAACUCCAGCCUCGACGCCAUGGUGAUCGCCGUGGGGAUCUCGCCGGUGAACCGGUUGCCGUCCGCCUGGAACACCUCGAGGUUGGUCCAGGCGGUGAAGUAGUCGGGCAAGACCUCGCCGGAGAGCAUGUUCUUGGAGACGUUGAACUCCCGCACUCUCGUCAGCCUCGCCAGCGCUACCGGCAGCUUGCCGGUGAGCUUGUUCCCGGCGAGGCCAAUGACGGUGAGGUUGGCGCAGAGGCUGAGCUCGUCGGGAAUGGUGGACUCCAGCCCGGCGAGGCUGACGUUGAUGUGUUCCAGCGACCGGAGCUUGCCGAGAGUGGUAGGGAUCGCGCCGCCCAACGGGUUACCGGAGAGCUCGAGCGUUCGCAGGCCGGAGAUGUUGCCGAUCACCGGCGGCACGCCGCCGUGGAGGAGGUUGGAGCCAAGAACGACGCUCUGGAGCUUCGUCAGCUUCGCGAGGGACGCCGGUAUCUCGCCGGAGAACUGGUUGGACGAGAGGUUGAGGUGCUCGAGGUUGGGCAUGAGCGCCGGCAGCGCCGCCGGGAUCGGGCCGGAGAGGUUGUUGCUCGACAGAUCGAUGGACCGGAGGCUGAGCAGCGGCGACGACACGUUCGACGGGAAGGAGCCCGUGAGCGAGUUGAGGCUGAGGUUGAGCGCGGCGAGGCCCGGCAGCGACGAGAGGUCGAGGGCGUCGAGCGUCCCGGCGACCCCCGCGCCGCCACGUCGACGCCCACCACGACGCCCGACGCGUCGACGCCACGCCGCGCCACGCGCGCCGCGACGCGGGGUUCGCGUUCGGCUGCUGCGGCGACGGCGUCGCCCACGACCCGAGGACGCCGGCCGCCGCCGCCGCCGAGCGCGGCAGGGUGUCCUUCCACGCGAGCAGCGCCUCCGCCUCGCCCGGCGCGGCCGUCGCGCCGCGCAGCGAGGCCGACACGAGCAGCAGGUGGAGCACAAGCACGCCGCGUGCAUGGUCGCGCGCGCGCCGCGGCGGCGUUCCCGCGUCGUGGCGCUUCAUACUCCGCCGCGGGUGGCUGAACCACGGUGAUUGGAGCGGCGCCGGCGAGUAGGGGCUACGACGACUGGACGCGCUCCGGCGAGAGCGCGGCGGCGGCCAUGGCUAGCAUUGCUUGCAAGGAGGUGAUCGAGAGGUGUUAGAGCGACUGAGCCGGCGGUGGUUGGGCGGGCGCCAUCAAGCGCACUGUUUGUUCGAGAUAUGAUUUCUCUAUAUGUGAUGAGUAAAUAUAUCUCUAUCAAAAAAUAGGAUUGCUAGACUUUUGGCGUCCAAAAAUUAUGAAAAUUUGAAAAAUUCAAACCAUGAGGUCACGAUUGGAUUCAUAUGGAGAUUGAUGCUCCGGCUAUGACACGAUGCUGGCUUGGUAGGCACUUAAAGAUACAAGAUCAUGGGUCCAAUACUCUCUUUGGAACUUAGGAAUAUAAAAAACAUAAAAAUAGAAUGUCAGUAACACCUUGAAUUGUAAGGAACAAAAAAUACAGGAAAACUACGUGGGAUGGAAUACAAGAAAAGCACAGGAUAUGGCAGAGAGAGGUAGGCAUAAAUGGAAAUUCCAAAGAGAUUAGAGAGCUCAUGCCAGGAAUCCUUCAAAAUUCCCAUGAAACAUGCCAUUCCACACAAAUUUCAAAAGAAUUAUAUGGGCUGGGACCUGAUUCGUUCCAAAAGACCUAAUAGAAAAUUUUACUAUAAGAUUUAAAUCCUUUGAAAUCUUAUUAUUUUUCCUGUGUUCCAAGGUACCGUUAAGCAUUGGUGGCAAAGAGAUGGGUGAAAGGACACAAACAUUCUGCAUAGAGCUAGAGACUAAGUGAGUGAAGUGGGUCAGAGCACAAAUCUUGAAGCAAUCUUAUAUUUGCAAAAAAAAAAAAAACUUUAGAUAACCGUUUCAAAUGUGGCAAUAACCAUUUGGUUAUCGUGGUUAUCAAUCUUAUCUAUCUAGCCGUAGCCGUAUUUACGAAUCGCUCGAUAAAGUAGAUAACUUUAAAAAGCAUACAAUUUUUUCAACAAGUUUUGCUGGUUUUCGAUAAUAACCGCUUGAUUAUCACGGUUGUCUUAAGGCAAUCGGUUCUGUAAACCUUGGCUGGAGAAUAGAGAAUCCCCUCAUGAAUUAUUUUUCUCGUUUGAAGUUGAUACCCUAAAUUCUUUUAAAAAACUGGGUAUUCCUUUGAGUGUACGGUUACCAACCAUUGUGUACUUUCAUAGUCAUCCCAGUGCAUAUACAACAGUAGUAGUGAUCUAGUGGACAACUUGUGCAAGCCUAUCUAUCCGAUAUGCUUGAGUUCCAAAAGCCACAUUUCAGCGAAAAAAGAAAGUUCCAAAAGCUACACAACAAUGUAUAAUCUAUUUGACACGCAAUUACAACAUUCUAUUAGCUCUUCCAUUGCGUGGACCAGUACAAAAUUGAACUGUUUAAUCCUCUAAUUAUUUCCCUCAUAUCCCUAGUUUUUUUAGAUAAUGACCUCCUUAGUUGAGCUCUCGUCCUUGCUUCAGCUGCUGACCAUGUACGGGUAGUUGCAACACCAAUUGACUAGAACAUUAUGUCAGCAAUUUUCUUAGGGAUUUUUUAAUGUUAUAGAGGUCAACCAAGUGCAAUUAAUUGUUGUUGCUGCUGGCUGGAUUGCACUGCAUGUAAUUAAGGUGACAUAAGUUUUUUAUACUUGCAAACCGUGUUUGUUUAAUUUGCUUGUUUGUUUAUAUGCAGUUGAUCUUGCAUCAUUGCUCUUACUGGUAGGACGCUUUCUACGACAGGUUGGUACAUCAAGCUUGAGAUGUUGAGAAGCUAUAAUAGUAAACUCUUCAAAAUGUUGGAGCUGGCACUAGCAGAUGAAACAGUGCAAGCGAUGGACUAAUUUAAUCCUUCUUCUUUUUGCCGAGUAACUUAGAAUAAAUCUAAAUGUAAGGUGCCAAUUGCGAUAAGGAAAAUAUUUUAUUUCUAUGAAAAUUUUGAUUGUUUGAUCAUUUUGCUAUUGAUGUCAUUUUCAGAAUUAGGUGGGAAAAGAUGAACUGAUUUUGUACAGUUCAGUGUGCUGACAAAGCUGAAGAAAGGAGAAACAGGGGAUGCCAAUUCCCGCUGUUUGGCACUGUAUAUAUGCUCAGUUAAAUGUCCGAUAAACAAUAAGGGUGUGUUUGAGGAGAUUGGGAAGAUACGCAAAACGAGGUGAGCCAUUAGCUCAUGAUUAAUUGAGUAUUAACUAUUUUAAAUUUCAAAAAUGGAUUAAUAUGAUUUUUUAAAGCAACUUUCUUAUAGAAAAUUUUUACAAAAAACACACCGUUUAAUAGUUUGGGAAGCGUGCGUGCGGAAAACGAGGUGCUUUCUCCCUCAAUGUCCUCCAAACGAACGCUGCCUAAGUGAAGAAAAAGUACAUAAGCAAAGAGGAAUUACACUGUGUCGAAACAAGAUUUCGGCAAUAAUAAAAGGGGGUGGCUAUCAAGCUAGGAAAGUGGAUGGGUUUGAAGACAAGGAAUUUUAUACAGGUUCAGGCCUUCUUAUUCAAGAAGUAAUACCCUACUCCUGUCCGGGGAUGAUUCCGCCGAGUGUGUUAUUGAUUGUAUAAUUGGGAAAAAAGAAUCGUGCCCCAAGAGGCACACGGACCCUCCUUAUACAGGGGAAGGGAUCCGUAAUACAAAGUACAACCCAUAUCCUAACGGAAUAUGGGAUUACAGAUAAAACACAAUCGUAACCGACUAGGAUCCCGGGUAUUUUCUUGACAUACAAGUUUAGAAUCUAACCCGAGUCCUCGUAAAAAUAUUUUAUCUAUAUUUGGUACCGUAUAUCCAGCUGGAAUAUAACCGCCAUGUAGAUAUGGGGUAACCAUAAUCUCCACAGUAGCCCCCGAGACCUUCACAGUUGACCAAAAUAGUCUUCUCGAAACAAAAACAAUAAUCCGAGUGCUUUAAUUCAACUUGCUCCGGCUUGCCGAGUGCUAAAAGACUGUAAAGGGCGAAAAUAAAACAUGGUGCAUCGAGUAGAUGCACCUAAUUAGGUGUAGCCCCUGACUAUGUGAUUAGUUGAAAAACUAAACAUAUAGUCAAGAACCGAGUGGUUUUAUAGUGAAGCACGCAUGGUACUUAGUAAGAUACCCAACCGACUGCUUCUCAAUCUUGAAUAUAUCAAGGACAAAAAAUACAAGAAGGGCCGAGUGAUAAACACUCAAAAGGUCUAAAAAUAUAUAUAUUUGGUAGGAAUCCGAGCAAGAAACUCUUAAAAUGAUCCACCAAAUAUGAUAAAGAUCAUGGUAAUUAAGAAGUUCAUUAGCCUAGGCUAUAACCUUUACCAUAAUCAAAAUAAGCAUAUAACAUGCUAAGAGAAUAACUAUGAAUAAACCAGUCAUCUCAAAUCAACCCAAACAGCUUUUGUAGCCUAAUAAAGCUUACAAAAACGGCAUAACACCUUUCUGUCAGGCACCUUUUGUUUGCAUCGUGUUAAUUCUAAAGAAUUAGCAAACCGCAUUAAAAAGGAUUUAAUCAGCAUUGGGCCACAACAUUGUGAGUACAAAUUGCCAAAGCAAAAAGUGCCUAAGUCCCUAAGAAUCACAACGGGCCACGCUGGAAAUAAAAUUGGGCUGAAGUACUGUACAGGCCCAGGCCCAUUAGUACUCACGAUACCCUAAAAAACACCGAAGUCCAAGCGACGCUUCGUCUUCCCCGCCAAGACUCUCGCCAUUUCCCCAUUCCUCGCUACAGUACAAGACUACGCCGACGGAGCUAGGGUUCAUCAAUCCGCCCCAAUCCAUUCUCAAAAAUCCCACGAAUCUUCUCCACGCGUCCACCGCACCGAUUCCCCCAUCCCUUUCCAUCCGUAUCUCGAACCAAAUCAAACCAUCCAGUUCACAUUCAUGGUGGAAGAAAGAGAAAGCUUCGAGAGUCAGUGGGCGCCCUCCGAUGUGACAGAAGAUAAUCUGAAGGAGAUGGUGGCGCACGGCGUUCUUCCAGCGAAGGAGAUCAUCGGGUGGCGACCGGCAUUUGGCGAAGCAUUCCCGACUCCCGAUACGCAUGAAAUCGUGGUAUUUGCUCACUUCUUCUAUGGCGGAUUUUCUCUUCCAACCUCAAGAUUUUUCCGGGGCAUUCUGAACUUCUACGGGAUUAGCUUGCAUCAUCUGAAUCCAAACUCCAUAGUGCAUAUUGCCAAUUUUAUCCACGCCUGCGAAGCUUUUCUGGGCAUUAGGCCUCAUUUUGCCUUGUUCCGCCGCAUCUUCUUCCUCAAGCCCCAGCCAAAUAAGAGCAAACCAUGCGUAGUUGGGGGUGCUGGUUUCCAACUCAGGGGAACACUAAGCCAAAAAUACUUCUCCAUGCCCUUCAAGACCUCAAAUAAAGGCUGGCACGCAAACUGGUUCUAUGUUCAGAAUCCUGAGCCCGCACUCCUGAGCACGCAAACUGUCUUCCUCCGGUUUACCAGGACACAUGGAACUCAUUGCCUAUGGGAGAUGAAGCUGCUCAGGCAGUAGAACUGAUGGAGAGGAUGAUAAAGCUGAAAGAACAGGGUCUUCAAGGAGAGCAGAUCACCCAGCACUUCAUCAAGUGUCGGUUAGCUCCAAUCAAAGAAAGAUCCCGCACAGCUUUUGAGUUCGACGGCAAGCAUGAUCCAAAUCGGGAAGAUCCAGAUUCUCUUGACUUUAAGGUCAUGAAAGAAAGAAUGUACAAGAUCUUCUCAAACGCUAUUGUCGUCAGCUAUUCACAUCUGCUGCCCGUUGUGCCAUUCAACGCAUUCAACCCUCCUCCACCGGUAUGCACUCAAACAUUUCAACCUUCCUCAAAAUAUGAUCUUGUCUUCCUGUUGAAUCAAUUAAUAAUGAAAGAUAUUACACCCAGGAAUUUGCUUUGAUGAAAUCGGAUCCCCCAAUCGCUCAACGCCGAUCUCCCCGCCACCAAACUGGGCAAGGGAGCGGAGGACCAAGAAUUCGGUCUGAAACUCAACCAAGUGCUUCUGAUUCAGUCGGCCAGUCAGACUCUCGAAAGAGGAAGCUGGUUCUGAGUGACGACGAAGCCGAUGAUACCACCAGGAGGCCUGGAGACCGAGAGACAACCAAGAAACUAUCAAAACAGGCUACUCCAAAGAAGAAAACAUCCAGUCGCCCUGCGCCAAAGAUCAGGAAGUCUUCUAGGUACAACUCAUAUAACGAUCUCUCUUGCAUUGAUGCACAUCCAUUGCAGCAAUAAUACUAAUAAUCAAAUUUGCAGGAAACCAUCUGAUAUAGAUCCGUCAGGGAAAGACUCUGACCCGACUAGCGUGGACGCAAAUUCUUCCAAAGAAAUCGGGACAACUGCCGAGGACCGUCCAAGUGACAAUCAGCCGGCAACCGAUAAUGUAGAAUCCGGUGAUCAACCCCCGAUUGGAAACCAGUCGGCCGAAGCCGAAGCCGGGGUUAAUCAGGAGCCCCCGACUAGAAACCAGUCGGACGCAAGGCCAAGCCAAGAGAUUCCAGAGGUUGGAGCUCAAGCAGAUAGCCUUCGCAGUCAAGACGCCAGCAAUAACCAGAGAUCUAGAUCUCCUUUAAAGGCAUCCGAAUCCACUCAUCCUCAUCCAGAAAUCAUUAUGGGUAAAACACUUUGUCUGAAACCAUGUCAACCCAAAUAACUCUGACCAAUUGUCUAACCUCUGUUAGUAGAUACAUUAGGGCCAAUGAUCAGUGAUGAAGAAGAAAUUCCCCGCAUACAAGCAGCUGAGGAUUCACGCCCUCCGAUUCUGGUCAAGUGGUGGGAUGACAACAUGCAGCCUCAAGGGACCGUGAUAAAUAAGCAAAAAGAGGACGAAGAGUUAUGCCUACUGAAGAAGGCACUUGGUCAGGCAACCCACAUUGUAAAUGUAAGCCCUCUGGUACCUGAUCUCAACCAUCUUGUUUGCCAUUUAAUUCAGGCGCUAAUUAAACUGUCUUGCAGAGGAUUCAUCUUAGGAACGAAGCUAAAACGGAAACCUUAGAGAGGCUAGUCCCUCAUCUCGGGACCCUCGAAGCCACCAGGAGUCUGCUGCACGAGACAAAAGAGCUUGCCAGGAAGAAUGAGCAUGAUCUGAGGAAUCGAAUUGCUGAGCUCCAGGAAUCAAAUUUUGAACUGAGUGGCUCAUCAAAAGGUACGUACAAACCCUACUUAACUGACUCAUAUUGUUAUCUUUGCAAUCUUGAUUAACCGUAGUCAAUGUAGUGCAAACUGCCAAGAUAUCUCAGUUGGAGAAGCAGAUUCAAAUUCUGGAAAACGACAAGGCAGAGCUGGCAAGACAAAGAGACCUGGCUUUAAAGGAAGUUGAAGGUAUCAACAAUCAAUAUCUCAAAAGCCAUUAUCCUCCAUAUGCUGACUUAUUAAUGUGAAUCUGUUGAUGCAGACCGCAAGAUUAAAUCUCAAGCUCAAUUCGACGUCCUGGUUAGCAAGAUCAAAAAACUUGAAGGAGCCCGGGAUGAGGUUGAUAACGCUGCUGCCCCAAUUGUUCAAGCGAUGUUCUUAAAUAACAACGGCCCGAGUGCACUUGAUGCUUCCGAAAUUUUCGACAAGCUGAGAGUUGCUCCGGAUAUAUAUUUCAAGAACAUCAAAGAAGCUGGAAGUAUGGGAGUAAGUAUGGCGUUGGCGAUGACUAAAUCCCUUUAUCCGAGAGUUGAUAUUGACGUCAUUGAUGGCUUUGCAGACGGGACGAGCGAAGAAGCUGCUCUUGACCUCAUCAGUGAUGCGCAGAAAGCGGCUGACAAAAUUGCUGCUGAUGUAGUUGAGAGAUUUCAGGACACCGAUCUUCGACCGACUGGUCCUGGUAAUUCUGAUGAUGAAAAGACUGAGACUGAUUAAUGUACCGAUAAUUUUGAUGAUUAAUGAUGAUGGAGGCACAAUUUGUACAAUACUGAUGAAUUUAUGCUGUGCUUGAUAUCUUAACUUUGCUCCUGAUUUCUUAAAAGUUUUUGUCAAACCUUGUUGAGCCUAAAACCCGCAAAAGUUGUUAAAAAACUUUCAGUCCUCAUUGACUAAGCCAAGAAAUCAAACAGGGCAAUGAUACAUCAAGUAGGCAAAUUGAAUUGAUAAAAAUCACACUCCAUUAUUAUUAUAGUAGCCCCCUAACUGAAAACUUCAAGAAAAAACUUGAAGUUAGCAGUCAAAGAGGAAAGAUACAAACGAAAUGCCUAAGCAUAAAAUUGACGAAGGUGUUCAAUGUUCCAAGAAUUAUUGAUGAUAGUACCAUCUUCGCGCUUGAGUCGAUAAGAACCCGGCCGAGUGACUUCAGCAAUUAUGAACGGUCCUUCCCAUAAGGGAGAUAAUUUAUGCCGAUCCUGUGUUUUUUGAAUUUUCCUUAGAACCAGGUCACCGACUAAAAAGGCUCGCGAUCGAACAUUCCGAUUAUGAUAACGGCGCAACCCUUGCAAAUAUCGAGUCGACUGAAUUAAAGCUGCUUCUCGGGCUUCUUCUAGUCGGUUGAUGUCGUCUACUCGGCCUUCUUCAUAGCCCUCCUCGUUGAAGUUCCAAAAUCGUAGUGAUUCAAAUUCCACUUCACUCGGCAACAUUGCUUCUGCGCCAUAAACCAAAAAGAACGGCGACUGGCCGGUAGCCCGACUAGGAGUAGUGCGUAAAGACCAAAGUACGGACGGCAGCUGAUCUACCCACUUGCCAGCAUAGGGGCGUAAUCGGUCGAAAACUCGUGCUUUGAUCCCUUGCAGUAUCAUGCCGUUAGCGCGCUCAACUUGUCCGUUACUCAUAGGGUGUGCCACGGAGGCAUAACAAAUUUUAAUGCCGAAGUCUUCACAAAAAUCUUUAAAUGCUCCGCCAGUGAAUUGAGUGCCAUUAUCAGUGAUGAUCCGAUUAGGUACCCCAAACCGAUGCACAAUGUUGAUGAAAAAAUCUCUAACUUUAUCUGCUGUGAUCGUGAUGACCGGUUUAGCCUCAAUCCACUUGGAGAAUUUGUCGAUAGCCACAAAGAGAUGCGUGUAACCACCGACUGCCCUUUUAAAUGGGCCGACCAUGUCAAGCCCCUAGACCGCAAAUGGCCAGGACAACGGGAUGGUUUGCAACUCUUGGGCUGGCAAAUGAGUUUGUCUGGCAAAAAAUUGACAACCUUCGCAUGUCCGCACAAUCUUGUCCGCAUCGGACACAGCUGUAGGCCAGAAAAAACCUUGCCGGUAAGCUUUGCCGACGAUGGUCCGUGCAACAGCAUGAUUACCACAAAUACCAGAAUGUAUAUCCUUCAGCAAUUGUCUCCCUUCCUCCAAAGAUACACAACGCUGCAGUAUUCCUGAUGGACUUUUCUUGUACAGUUCAGCUUCGUGAAUAAUGUAAAGCCUGCUGCGCCUGGAAAUCCGCUCGGCUUCAUUUUUGUCUUGAGGGAGUUCUUGUUUGGUCAAAAAUUUUAUGAGAGGUUCUCUCCAGUCGGCUUCAAUCAUGCUUACGCCUUGAGUAUCCAUGGCUUCAGUUGUCUCUUUUCUGGGCACGGUCGGUUCGUAAAGAUGUUCGACGAACACAUCUGAAGGAGCUGCUUCCCGUUUUGAACCAAAAUUGGCCAGUCUGUCGGCUGCCUCAUUGUUAUGUCGGAGGACAUGGGUGAGCUCAAGUCCAUCGAAUUUGUCUUCCAACUUGCGUACCUCUUGUCGAUAAGCGGUCAUAUUAUCAUCUAGACAAGACCACUCUUUCAUGACUUGAUUGACAACCAACUGAGAGUCUCCACGGACGAUUAAUCGGCGGAUGCCUAAAGAGAUUGCAAUCCUUAAUCCAUGGAGUAGCGCCUCGUAUUCCGCCACGUUAUGGGACGCAGAAAAAUGUAUCCACAAUACGUCGCUCAAUCUUUCUCCAGUCGGGGAAAUUAAGACGACCCCAGCUCCAGUGCCUGUAAGCCUCUUCGACCCAUCAAAAAUGCAUAGUCCAAUAUUCCAUCUUUUCCUCUGGCAUGUCUUCUUGGCACUCGGUCCACUCAGCAAGGAAAUCAGCUAAAGCUUGUGACUUGAUCGAAGUUCGUGGUUUGAAAGAUAUGUCCAAAGACAUCAAUUCUAAGGCCCACUUCGCAAUCCGUCCAUUUGCUUCGCGAUUAUGAAGUAUAUCCCCGAGUGGAAACGAUGUGACCACCGUGAUCGAGUGACUUUGAAAGUAGUGAGAUAAUUUCCUAACGGUAAUUAAGACACCAUAUAAUAACUUUUGAACCUGAGGAUACCUUGUCUUGGAGUCGGCUAAAACCUCGCUGACAAAAUAGAUCGGUUGUUGGACUUUUUGAAUAUGGCCUUCCUCUUCACGCUCGACAACCAGGACCGUACUCACAACCUGGGAGGUCGCUGACACAUAUAACAGUAGCGGCUCUUGCGGAUGUGGCGAGGCCAAAACUGGUGGAGUAGUGAGGAGUUUCUUGAAGUCUUCAAAGGCUUUCUGUGCUUCGGGUCCCCACUAGAAAUCGUCAGUCUUCUUCAGCAGCUUGAAAAAAGGCAUCCCCCGCUCACCGAGUCGUGAGACGAACCGGCUGAGCGCCGCCAUGCAACCAGUCAGCUUUUGGACGUCUUUUUGGGAGCUUGGCGGUUUCAUGUUGAGGAUGGCAUUGAUUUUCUCUGGGUUGGCCUGUAUGCCUCUUUGAGAUACCAUAAAUCCGAGCAACUUCCCUGACGGUACUCCGAAGAUGCACUUUUCCGGGUUUAGUUUCAUCUUGAAAGCACGAAUGCUUGUAAAAGUUUCUUCUAAAUCCGCAAUCAGGUCAUCCUUCUGCUUGGUCUUGACGACUACAUCAUCAACAUAGGCUUCAACAUUGCGACCGAUCUGAGUUGAAAAACACUUUUGAAUCAUGCGUUGAUAGGUUGCUCCUGCGUUCUUCAAUCCAAAGGGCAUGGUGAUGUAGCAGUAGGCCCCAAAGGGCGUAAUAAACGAGGUCUUCAAGCAGUCGGAUUCUUUUAGUCGGAUCUGAUGAUAUCCCGAGUAACAGUCCAAGAAGCUGAGUAACUCGCAGCCGGCCGUUGAAUCAACCACCUGGUCAAUGCGAGGUAACCCAAAAGGGUCUUUGGGACAAGAUUUAUUGAGGUCGAUAUAGUCGACACACAUGCGCCAUUGCCCCGUCUUUUUCCGAACCAGGACUGGGUUAGCCAGCCAGUCGGGAUGAAGGACUUCCUUAAUGAAGCCUGCUGCUAACAGCUUGGUUAAUUCCUCCUUGAUCGCAUCCUUCCUGUCCUGUGCAAAACGGCGGAGUCGUUGCUUGAUGGGUUUGGCGUCUUCCUUAACAUGUAAAGAGUGCUCAAUCACUUCUCUGGGGAUACCAGGCAUAUCGGAUGGUUUCCACGCAAAAAUAUCUUUAUUAUUCUGAAGAAAGGUGAUGAGCGCGCUUUCCUAUUUACAAUCUAACUCAGCGCCUAUUACAGCAGUCUUGUCAGGAUCGGAGGGAUCUAAGGGAAUCUUUUUCGUCUUGGCAUCACUUUCUUCGGUCUUCGUCAGCUUGGUUGCAGGCACUUCUCCCUCGCUUGCCGUGGUCGCAGCCAGUCGGAUCUCUUCGCGGGCGAGAGUGGUCUCGUGGGUUUGAGCCAUCUCGCAACUUUCUUUGUCACAUGUGACGGCUUGCUUGAUGUCGCUCCGUAGUGAUAUGACCCCUCGAGGACCAGACAUCUUCAUCAUCAUGUAGGUGUAGUGCGGGACAGCCAUGAACUUGGCUAGAGCCGGUCGUCUGAGUAUAGCAUGAUAUGCUAUCUCGAAAUCAGCGACUUCGAAACAAACAUUUUCUGUGCGAAAAUUCUCCCGAGUGCCGAAGGUAACUGGAAGAGUGAUCUGGCCGAGUGGUGUAGCUGACAAUCCUGGGAUAACGCCAUGGAAGGGUGCAUUACUCGGCUUUAAUUCCGUGCGAGGAAUCUGCAUAUCGUCCAGGGUUUUAGCGAAAAGGAUGUUGAGUGCGCUGCCGCCAUCGAUGAGAGUCCGUCGGAGCUUGACAUUGCGAACCACUGGGUCUAGUACCAGGGGGUACCACCCCGGGUGGACCACUCGGUCGGGAUGAUCCGAGCGGUCGAACUUAAUUGCUGUUUCUGACCACUGAAGAUAUUGGGGCGUGUUAGGCUGAACCGCAUUGAUCUCCCGUUCCAUUAGCUUCUGUUUUCUCUUGGACUCAUAAGCCAGGGGUCCGCCGAAGAUGUGAUUAAGUUCUUUGCGAUGAUCUUGAAAACCAGUCGGGGCAUCGUCUUCAUCAUCUCUUCUUUGAUGUGCCUUGAUCUCCGUCUGAAGGUUUACGUGCGUUCUUGACGUAUUGUUCUGUGAACUAUUUGUAGACGAAGCAAUCUUUGGCCACGUGGUUGGAGUUGGGAUGAUGCGGACAUUGGGAGUUCAUUAUCUUGUCGAAGGUGUUGACGCGGGGACGUUGUCGGUAAGAUGGAGAGGUGGUCGCCACAAGUUCUUCGGGCUUAUGCUUGCGAUCUUUGUGGUUGUUACUUCCACUCCCCCCUGCAGUCGGUGCGUCCUUCUUUGGCUUCCAAGUGGUGCCCGACUGUUUGGACGCGGUGAUUGCAUCUUCGGCUUUGGCAUACUCGUUGGCUUUUUCGAACAUCUGCUUAACCGUCCUGGGAGGUUUACGUCCGAACUUGCCGACUAGGUCCUCGUGGCGAAUGCCUUUAGUGAAGGCGGCGAUGAUGACGUCGUCGGUGAUGUCGGAGAUCUUGUUGCGUUGUUCAGAGAAGCGUCGGAUGUAAUCUCGAAGGGAUUCUCCAGACUUCUGAACGAUGUUGUAGAGGUCAAAUUGUGUGCCGGGGCGCUCAAAGGUGCCCUGGAAGUUGGCGAUGAAGUGAUCGCGAAGUUCCGCCCAUGAUCCGAUCGUGCGACGGGGUAGUCCGUGGAGCCAGGAUCGGGCGGAGUCCGCUAGGGCCACAGGUAGAUAGUUUGCCAUGGCCUUGCUGUCUCCUCCUGCUGCACGGAUCGCGAUUCCGUAGACGGUGAGCCAAGACUCCGGAUUAGUGGUGCCGUUAUACUUCUCGAUUCCAGUCGGCUUAAAGCCGACUGGCCAAUCCACUCGACGUAGGUCAUUAGUGAAGGUAGCCACUCUAUCCACGUCGUCGUCGUAGCGAUUUGGUGAAUGGCGGUGACCUCGUGCUGCACGGUGCUGGUUGAUCAUGUCGCGAAGAUCGACGGGGCGCUGAUGAGGUGGAGAGCGAGGCCGUUCGACUCGGCGCUCCCUGUGACGUUCAGGAGGCGAGUGAACAGAUCGUUCGUCGUGACCCCUGCUCCUGCGACUGGAUCCUGUGCCGGUGAUGCUGAGGCUUGGCUGAUGAUGAUCAUGAGAUCAGAGGUGAGGGGCUCGGCUACCAGUCGGGGUGCGGAUGCUUACGGAGUUGGCUGGAACCGAGGCAGCGAUCAUGGUCUUCGUCUGGUUCAAGAUGUUGACAACAUGAUCGGCUUGGUUGAGUGCGUCUUCCUUGAGGAGGGUGUCGAGGAGAGUGAUUGCUGCAACCGCGUUCUGCUGGGCGGUGCGGAAGACCGAUGUCCCGUCGACGUCUUGUUGCCCAAUGAGCUCUCUCGCUCGGCGCCCAGAUUCCAAGGCGCGUUGCCGUCGAUCUUCAGCCUCCUUUGCAAUCCGUUCGCGAUCUUGUUGCUCACGCUGUAGUCGUUCUCGCUCCUGUCGCUGUCGCACUUCCUCCAGUCAGCGACGUUCAGCUCCUUGCCGUGCGCGAUCUUGGUCCGCUUCUCGGGCUCGGCGCUGUUCUUCCGUUUCGUUGUCAGCCAUGAAUACGCCGAAGAAGAGGGGCAUGUAGUUAUCCUCAUAGCUGUCGUCGAAGUUGUCGAGGUCGCCGUGGUCGUAGUGGUAGCCGAAGUCGUCGUAGUCGAGGAUCUCGGUUGGUCGAGAACUGACGCCGGGGGAGCAGAGGGAGCCAUCCAAUUCUUCCGUCGAGACUGUCCCAAGAGGUUGGAGUAUAACGCCGACCUUCCUGGAUCUAGACUGGAUCGGGGCCGAUGCCGGAGCUCGCCUAGAUCUCCGAGUGGGAGAUGUUUUGGCUGUGAAAACGGCGGCCAAGUCAUCAGGAAGUUUCAUCAAGAUUGAGGGGUAGGACCCGUCGUCUUGAUCUGGUCGCGGAAGAGUAGAUUGGAUCUCGUCCGAGUGGUUUGAAGCCGACUCGAGAGAGAUUAUCUUGGAGUAGGCCUUGGCCGAGUUCAGAAUACCGAAUGGCACGGGGACCUGGUCUCUCCCCGACUGGUCUGAAUCCGAGUCAAGGAGAGAAAUCUUGCCGAAGUUGUUGGUGAUGAAGUCGAGGCUGCCGAACCGGAACGCCUGCCCGGGAGGGAAGGCGAAGUCGUCGAUGCCAGAAACGAAACCCAUCGCACUUAGUAGGCGAGAACUUGACGCUACCCCUACCUGGCGCGCCAACUGUCGAAACAAGAUUUCGGCAAUAAUAAAAGGGGGUGGCUAUCAAGUUAGGAAAGUGGAUGGGUUUGAAGACAAGGAAUUUUAUACAGGUUCAGGCCUUCUUAUUCAAGAAGUAAUACCCUACUCCUGUCCGGAGAUGAUUCCGCCGAGUGUGUUAUUGAUUGUAUAAUUGGGAAAAAAGAAUCGUGCCCCAAGAGGCACACGGACCCUCCUUAUAUAGGGGAAGGGAUCCGUAAUACAAAGUACAACCCAUAUCCUAACGGAAUAUGGGAUUACAGAUAAAACACAAUCGUAACCGACUAGGAUACCAGGUAUUUUCUUGACAUACAAGUUUAGAAUCUAACCCGAGUCCUCAUAAAAAUAUUCUAUCUAUAUUUGGUACUGUAUAUCCAGCUGGAAUAUAACCGCCAUGUAGAUAUGGGGUAACCAUAAUCUCCACAGUAACUAUCGAAACAAGAUUUUGGCAAUAAUAAAAGGGGGUGGCUAUCAAGCUAGGAAAAUGGAUGGGUUUGAAGACAAGGAAUUUUAUACAGGUUCAGGCCUUCUUAUUCAAGAAGUAAUACCCUACUCCUAUCCGGUAAUUCUGAUGAUGAAAAGACUGACACUGAUUAAUGUACAUAAGCAAAGAGGAAUUACACUGUUUAUUAUUCUUCAGAAAGGAAUCAGAUUAUCACACACGCACAUAACAUUCCAAUGUGACUGUGACCUAACAUGUUUACAUAUUGUCACUGAAAUUUCUAUGUGCCAACCUUUUGAUGGUACUAGGAUUUGUGCACGCGAUCACCCUUAAAAAAGAUCAGAAAAAGAUGACUUGUGAAACCAACUUACGCAAAGUCACUAUUAGGGUGUGCGCAUGUGGUUACUAGCUAGUGUUUCUUUUAGCCCAUGGAAUGGUGAUAACCAGGGAGUUUGAUGGGUAAGUGUAGAAUCUCUCUUCCUCUUCUCUGGAAGACACAAUUUUCUAUCUGAUCGUGGCAGAAUUUGGGUAAUCAGGGCUAGUGUACUGUUGUCGUGCCAUAUAAUAUACUUGUGUCAUUGCAAAAUAUAAGCAAAUUGUAGAGCAGAAUGGUUAUGAUUGGUUCAAGCAGAAAAAAAAUAUAUAAACAAAUUAACUGAUAGAUUGUGAUUGGUUAAGACAAGAAAGUAAUUUGACUUGAAAAUAGGUUGAUUAGUUGCUAUAUCGAGGGAAAAAAUUUAAACAUUAAAAAUACUUAUAUUAUGGAACGGAAGAAAUAGUUAAUUAAUGAGUAAAUUUUACAAAAUUCUGGGUAAGUGCCUCCUUGGCUGACACCUGUAAGAUUAUUUUUCUACGGUAAGUGCCCGUUCCUACCAGAUGCAUUAUCUCAUGAUUGUAAAUACUUUUCAGGACUGUGAAAAUAUUAUUUGAAGUGGUAAAAUAUACUCUCCCAAGUCCCAAUUGUAAAAUAUUAUCCGUACUGGGCUUGCGCCAUGGAUACUGGAUAGAAGAAGACAAUAGUACGUGUACAGUAUAUAAUUUGAAAGAGAAAAAAAAAACUUGAAACCUCAAAGCUUUGAGUUUACACAUGGGCUGUUCUGCCAAGUUCACAGACGGGCCAUGGCGUUCUUGACAUCUGGCCUGUUUCUGUCAUUUUCGUUGAUUUGCCCAAUUUUAAGAAAGCCCGGACCUGAUCACCUGAACCAAAUUGUUCAUCUACAAUUACAAGCCCAGUACGGCAGUACUGUGUGUAAAGUACACAAUCGGCAAUUUUCGUGAGACAUAGUCACAUGGACCAGUUUUUCUUUUUUAAUUUGAAGCGCAAGAAUUUUUCUUCCACGAAAGGAAUUUAACUUUUAGACCUCCUUUCGAACGGGAGAUUUUGGAGGAAUUUCGUGGGAUUGAACCCAACUCUUGCAAACUUCCCCGUUUCAGACCAGACUUGGCUGGCGAAUACCGAUAUCAGAUUUCAAUCAAGCCUCUGUUUGUAUUUCUCUUCAUGUUUCCCUACCAAUAUUAAUUAUAUUCUCUUGAAGCAAUUUAGAAAAAGAAAUGUUGCAUAUUUUCUUCUUCAUUCUAUUUGAAGCUUCAAAUAUGGAUUAAUAGUGCUUUCUUGAGUACUUUUUUUUAGAAGAGUAAUUUUUUUCCGGCCUCCAUAUCUAAUUGGAUAUAUGCAGCCUUUUAAAUUGGGAACUUAACCUCUCAAAAUAGCUCAAUCUAAAAUUCACUCCUAUGGAGAUUUGAAAUCAAAACCUUCGAGUGCUACUUAGAUCACUGCAACCGCUAAGUUAUAUGCCCUUUUCCUUGAAAUGUUGCAUACUGAAUGCAACAUAUAUACCAAUUACUAAAAUGUUGUCGCGGUUGAGCUUAGUGACAGAGCCAAUGACGAUGUCAAGCCCAGCUACUGAAACCCAUUUUUAUCAACUUAUAACUUGAGAAUCCGAGAAUGUUUAACCAACACGGGUUAGAUUGUACGAUUAUUGGGAAAUUGAUGGCACCUUACUGUAGAGAGCAGCCAAUCCAUAGUACUACUCUCUCGAUUCCAAAAUAAAUAUUUUCAAUAUACAAACAUAGAAUUGUAGUUUUAGUUGCAUAGAACUAAACCCAUUUUGACUUGAGCGCGCUCUCCUAUCCCCAUUCCAUGUGCCUUGCCCCCUUCUUCCGCGCUAUAUACUGAUUGAAAUACCUUCUGGUUCCAUGUGAGUGUGAUUCAAAGAUUGUAUUACUGUACAGCAGUUCAUGAAGCUAGCUGUAUCAGGUGGCUAAUGAAAGUGCCAUGUCCCUUUGACUUUGAAUUUGAGAUCCUCUCUGUUCUGACUUCCGAGUGUGACUGGCUCAAGCGACUCCAUUUCUUGUUUGUUCCUCUGUUCUCUAAUGUGUCACUUUUGACCAUGGGUGUUGUACUUUGACCAUAAAUUACUAAUGAUGAAUGAUAACUUAUAGGGUUAUAUUUAUAAUGUUAUAAUUUCGAUAAUACAACAUAUUUUCGAGUAUCUAUAUUUUUUUCAAAAAUAAGCGUGAAUAUUACGAGUGUGAAUUAUUCGAGAAUAGAGGAAAUAUUUUAUUUUGAUGCAUGAUCUUCUGCUACAGGAACCGAGGAUCGAGGAGUAGGAUCAAAGAAUCUAUGGUUUCUUUCUAUUUUUUUACAUAUUUAUAGUAUAUUAUUUUGUCCGGAGUUGAUGCAUACGCUAGCCCUGUCGCUGUCUGCCAUCUCGUUAUGCUGAUGGUGAGCUCAUGUGAUCCUAUCUUGCGACCUUUUUCAGUUUGAAGAUAAGAGCUGUGGAUUGAUAAUCAAUUUCUGAAAACAAACUCCACGGUUACUGUCGAAGAAACGUCCAUGGUUAAUAACUAGUACUAGCAACCAGCAAAUAGUUUGGUCUAAGACGGCAAAACAGACUGGGUUUGCUGACUAAUAAGGACCAAAAAAGGAAAAUUGGCAUCGAUUUCUUGCCUGUUUUUAAGCACUAAACGGAUUAACGAGGGCGUAAGGCUACAUGCAGUCGCUUUCGCUCAAGAAUUCCAACGCGUAAACAAACAACUAGUGCGCCGCAUAAUGCAAGCUGAUCGGUCAACUAGCGGAAGCCCCAGUACCUGAGUUCAAAACGGAUUAUUGACACUUGACUGACAGUAUCAUUGUGGAGUACGUAGUAUUAAUCAGAGAACAUAGCAGUAUCAUUGUUACUGCUAUGUUCUCUGUGUUCGCUCCUCUGGGGCAAAGGAAAACUGUAAUCCUCCCUUUGAGGUUUCUGCUUCUAGUUUUUUUCUUUUUCUGCUAUUCUCCCUCUCCUCUCUUGCUCUGUAAGACACUUAUUCCCGUUUCUGGUAAUAGAAAUGGGGGCAGUGAUGCCCUAGCUCUAAAAAAAGAGAGUAUUGUUAUCAAAGUUAGUCGAUAUAGCGGAAUGACGACUAACCCUCCCGAUCGUUUCAGUCAUUGAUCACCCAAGACAUGCCAGAUGACGACACAGGAACACACGAUAUUUGUUAACGAGGUUCAGCCGAAGCCUACAUUCCCAGGGCUCUGAUUAUGGGCGCUCCUCCCCAACCAAUAUAUCUCUUAGCCGCUACGAGUCCAUGGCCAAGCCGCCAUCCUCUCCCUGCGUGUCUAUGCUACACUGUAGUCGCCAUGGUUACAUUGUGGUGUCCCCCUCUCUAUUUAAGAGAGUUGCCGGGUUAUAGAGUCCGACUCUAACUCCACCCCUAACACCUAUUACAACUCCAAGUCCAACUGUAACCAAAUAGGACUAGUAUAUUCGACACCUAUUCUAACAAACUCUACCUUGGCGAAUAUACGCCACCCAGAAGUAGUAGAAUCACCAUGCCAAUCCAUCUGUCCUCCAGACUUGGGUUGUUUCCUUUUGCAGCUUCACCACGAGCCGCCUGACGAGCCUGCGCCAGACCCGCCGCCUUGAAGAGACUCCGCUAUCCCUGCAAUUUCUUCCUCUUGAAUCCACCUGCAACAGUGCUCCACCUUCUUACCUAUCAUCUCAGUCGUCUUGCCAAGCGAAAUUGGAUUUCUUCCUAGCUGUCACAUCAUAGACUCCCCGAAGACCAUGUUCACCUCCAUCUUCCAUCUUAAAUUUGAAUUGAUCUAAUCCAUGGCCAGAUAACCUAUGUCAUCACCAAAUAGAUAAAUCAAACUCACCAGACUUGAAGAGAACCAUUUCUUCCUUGUUGUCUUAUGAACCGAGCUAAUAAAUCCAACAUCCUCGCUUUCCCGCAUCCGUAGACUGAACCUAUGAUACUUUGAGAAAAUUCACUGUUGCCUUGAAUCCCUUGAAGAAAUUAACACCAUAGCGCUUGCUUUUCCUCUUCAGUGACGCAGAUUUCCAUAUAUCCCCCAUCAUGCCGACCUGCAUAUCCUGGAUAUAUCCUGUAUUGCCAAACAGUUUCGUUGACCCCAUCAACGAUAUUUGACCCGCUGUUGCCCGGGAUCUUUUUUUUCCCUUCAGUUCUGGUCUAACUCCAUAUAUCUCAACUCCUCGUCGAGUCCCAUAUAUAUCAUGUCUGCCAGAUAAUUCCAUAUGCGACCUGACCGACCUGUCGCCGCCAGUCUAUUCGCCAUUGUCACUUGCAAACUAUCCAGACCGUAGAACCUUUUUGCCCUUCUUCUGAAUCCGCUCACAAGUUUCUGCAACGAACCACCGGUCCGUUGAACCCGGUCUAACCGUCCAAGCUCCGCAGUCUAACCAGUCCGUCGGUCUAACCACCCUGCCGGCCCAGUUUAACCAGCCUCGAUCCUCUCUGGACCGAAUGCCACAUGAUGUACCAUCUCCUAAGUCACCGUAGACCAUACAAGUUCCGUCUUAGUUAUCAUGGCAGCACCACACCAAUUGCCCCUGCGCCUGUGCAUCUCUCUACUGAAUCACCACCACCUUAAUUAUGCCAACCAAUGCGUCCUAGACUCCUGGUAGCCUUGCACGCUUUGAUCUCCACGUUUAAUUAGCACCACCACACAGCUAGCUUAUUGGUCUUCCUGGCUCCCUGCCAUACGUAAACCAAUGUUGCACAGUAGUAUAAUGCAUGCACGUACUAUGGCAGCCAACAUAUGCUUGCAUACACAUGUAACCCUAUCAUAAUUAACGUGACCAGCAAAAGACUACUACUCUCUC
rnacentral:lncRNA from 1 species